rnacentral:rRNA from 1 species
UACGGAGGGUGCAAGCGUUAUCCGGAUUCACUGGGCUUAAAGGGUGCGUAGGCGGGUCUGUAAGUCAGUGGUGAAAUCUUCGAGCUUAACUCGGAAACUGCCAUUGAUACUAUAGAUCUUGAAUUUUCUGGAGGUAAGCGGAAUAUGUCAUGUAGCGGUGAAAUGCUUAGAUAUGACAUAGAACACCAAUUGCGAAGGCAGCUUACUACGGGAACAUUGACACUGAGGCACGAAAGCGUGGGGAUCAAACAGG